rnacentral:rRNA from 1 species
AGAGUUUGAUCCUGGCUCAGGAUGAACGCUGGCGGCGUGCCUAAUACAUGCAAGUCGAGCGAACGGACGAGAAGCUUGCUUCUCUGAUGUUAGCGGCGGACGGGUGAGUAACACGUGGAUAACCUACCUAUAAGACUGGGAUAACUUCGGGAAACCGGAGCUAAUACCGGAUAAUAUUUUGAACCGCAUGGUUCAAAAGUGAAAGACGGUCUUGCUGUCACUUAUAGAUGGAUCCGCGCUGCAUUAGCUAGUUGGUAAGGUAACGGCUUACCAAGGCAACGAUGCAUAGCCGACCUGAGAGGGUGAUCGGCCACACUGGAACUGAGACACGGUCCAGACUCCUACGGGAGGCAGCAGUAGGGAAUCUUCCGCAAUGGGCGAAAGCCUGACGGAGCAACGCCGCGUGAGUGAUGAAGGUCUUCGGAUCGUAAAACUCUGUUAUUAGGGAAGAACAUAUGUGUAAGUAACUGUGCACAUCUUGACGGUACCUAAUCAGAAAGCCACGGCUAACUACGUGCCAGCAGCCGCGGUAAUACGUAGGUGGCAAGCGUUAUCCGGAAUUAUUGGGCGUAAAGCGCGCGUAGGCGGUUUUUUAAGUCUGAUGUGAAAGCCCACGGCUCAACCGUGGAGGGUCAUUGGAAACUGGAAAACUUGAGUGCAGAAGAGGAAAGUGGAAUUCCAUGUGUAGCGGUGAAAUGCGCAGAGAUAUGGAGGAACACCAGUGGCGAAGGCGACUUUCUGGUCUGUAACUGACGCUGAUGUGCGAAAGCGUGGGGAUCAAACAGGAUUAGAUACCCUGGUAGUCCACGCCGUAAACGAUGAGUGCUAAGUGUUAGGGGGUUUCCGCCCCUUAGUGCUGCAGCUAACGCAUUAAGCACUCCGCCUGGGGAGUACGACCGCAAGGUUGAAACUCAAAGGAAUUGACGGGGACCCGCACAA